GUGCUCGCUUCGGCAGCACACACAGAAAACGGGAACGAUGCCGAGAUCAGCGUGGCCCCUGUGCUAGGAUGACAUGCAAAUUUGUGAAGGAACUGAGAUAAAA